rnacentral:rRNA from 1 species
UACGUAGGGACCGAGCGUUGUCCGGAUUCAUUGGGCGUAAAGAGCUCGUAGGCGGCCACUCAAGUCGAAUGUGAAACCUCGAGGCUCAACCUCGAGCCUGCAUUCGAUACUGCGUGGCUCGAGUACUGGAGAGGAGACUGGAAUUUACGGUGUAGCAGUGAAAUGCGUAGAUAUCGUAAGGAAGACCAGUGGCGAAGGCGAGUCUCUGGACAGUUACUGACGCUGAGGCACGAAGGCCAGGGGAGCAAACGGG